AACGAACGCUGGCGGCAGGCCCAACACAUGCAAGUCGAGCGCGCCUUCGGGUGAGCGGCGGACGGGUGAGUAACGCGUGGGAAUAUGCCCUUCUCUACGGAAUAGUCCUGGGAAACUGGGGGUAAUACCGUAUACGCCCUUUGGGGGAAAGAUUUAUCGGGGAAGGAUUAGCCCGCGUUGGAUUAGGUAGUUGGUGGGGUAAUGGCCUACCAAGCCGACGAUCCAUAGCUGGUUUGAGAGGAUGAUCAGCCACACUGGGACUGAGACACGGCCCAGACUCCUACGGGAGGCAGCAGUGGGGAAUCUUAGACAAUGGGGGCAACCCUGAUCUAGCCAUGCCGCGUGAGUGAUGAAGGCCUUAGGGUUGUAAAGCUCUUUCAGCUGGGAAGAUAAUGACGGUACCAGCAGAAGAAGCCCCGGCUAACUCCGUG
rnacentral:rRNA from 1 species